AGCUUUGCGCAGUGGCAGUAUCGUAGCCAAUGAGGUUUAUCCAAGGCGCGAUUAUUGCUAAUUGAAAAUUUACCUGGUGUU
rnacentral:snRNA from 1 species